rfam:Dipodomys ordii contig_71750, whole genome shotgun sequence.
GUCUACGGCCAUACCACCCUGAACGUGCCCGAUCUCGUCUGACCUCGGAAGCUAAGCAGGGUCGGGCCUGGUUAGUGCUUGGAUGGGAGACAAUUUAGGUGGGGGGGGAAAGGGGGUAGGGG